GUUCAUGGCAGUUUCACACUCUCUCUCCUCUCAAUCUGUAGUUGGCGAUGGUUUUACAAGAUCCUUCAUAAUCGCGCACGUUUGCCUCACAAUCGCACCCACGUUUACCGCUUUCUUCGCCCCAACCACCAUAGGCUAUCCAUUAUAAAUCCUCUACCACCAUCACCAAUGACUUCGCUUUCUCCUCUGCAUUUUUUCACCCUAUAAACAGAUUCAAUCCAUUGAACGAAUCACCCCACUACGUUGUGUUUGGAGUAUUUACGACAGGUAAACCACCAAUUCAACUGCCCACUCUCCCCUAAUUUUAGGGUUUGAAGAGGUUAAAUAUAGAAUGAUGAGCGCAAGAAGGAAAUCUGAAGUGGAGUUCUCCAUGACGACGGUUCCCCAUGCUCCUCCUGAAAUUCAAUGAUUCUACCUCUUCAUCCACUCAAAUUCACCAAUUUUCCACAUGGGUUCUCUCAAACCCACUUCAAUCUGUGAGCAAAUUCACUCGAUUGAUGGUGUAUCACCAUGGCUGUUGAUAAUUCAUCUUCUUCGCCUAGCUUCCGUGAGCUUGAUGAUGUGUUUUUGCAGUCUCAAGCAAGAAUAUGGCUUGGAGAAGUGUUGCGCACAAGAUUCGAUGAGCAAAUAAGCAUAGGUGACCUACUUUCUGAUGGGGAGAUGUUCAUACCGUUUUCAAACCGCUGCCUGAUGCUCUUUGAAUCCUAAACCGUCGGCACUAGGAGGCGUGAUUGUCACCUUCAGGAAGCUUUCACCAUCACCACUAAGUGUCGCUCAAUGGCCACUACACCCGGUUAGAUAUUUUCCUUUUCCAAAUUUAAGAGAAUCCUAUCUGUUCAGUUCUCGAUACCUGAUUAUGUGCGUGUUUCCAAAGAUUGUAGACACCUCCUUUCUCAUAUCUUUGUUGCUAACCCAUCCAAGGUCAUUGGCCGUUCCCACGAGAUAUGCUUAUGCAAGGAUAUGCAUACAUCUUAACCCAUCCAGGAACGCCUGUGAUAUUUUACGACCAUUUUUAUGAUUUUGGGCUCCGUGAUGUUAUAACGAGAUUAAUCGAGGCAAGAAAACGGGAUGGGAUCCCUCCCAUACAGCCUAUUAUUUUAUCAUGCUCUAUCACACAUAUUAUAAGUACCGGCAGGUUCCUUGUGGUGAAUUGCUAAUGAAAUAGACACGACAAUGAAAGGAGAAGAUUGUUACUCUCCUGUACUUUGGUUUCACGGGUUACAAGGAGCAAUGUACACCGAGACUCUUUGCUUCACCUAAUAUUUAGUUCCAUUAAGUAUGCUCUUUUGUUUUGUUCAUUUUAAUGUUUGGUUAUUUGUUUAGUGACAAUAUAAAUACGUUUAUCAUUUUCUUUAUUAUAUUCUAUGGGUAUUUAUGUUA